UGAACGCUGGCGGCAUGCCUUACACAUGCAAGUCGAACGGUAACGCGGGGCAACCUGGCGACGAGUGGCGAACGGGUGAGUAAUAUAUCGGAACGUGCCCAGUAGUGGGGGAUAGCCCGGCGAAAGCCGGAUUAAUACCGCAUGAGACCUGAGGGUGAAAGCGGGGGAUCGCAAGACCUCGCGCUAUUGGAGCGGCCGAUAUCAGAUUAGCUAGUUGGUGGGGUAAAGGCCUACCAAGGCAACGAUCUGUAGUUGGUCUGAGAGGACGACCAGCCACACUGGAACUGAGACACGGUCCAGACUCCUACGGGAGGCAGCAGUGGGGAAUUUUGGACAAUGGACGCAAGUCUGAUCCAGCCAUUCCGCGUGCAGGAUGAAGGCCCUCGGGUUGUAAACUGCUUUUGUACGGAACGAAAAGGUUUCUAUUAAUACUAGGAGCUCAUGACGGUACCGUAAGAAUAAGCACCGGCUAACUACGUGCCAGCAG
rnacentral:rRNA from 1 species